AUGCUGAAUAAUAGGAGGGAGAGUGCGGGAAGAGGCAGGACCGUACCGAGAAAAGCUCGGCAGUUCCAGAACUCAGCACAACAAUCAAAGGAUAAAGUGGUAAUUAGGCCUGAUUAUCAUGCAAGGCAGCCCCGGUUAAAUUGGAAUGUAGCCGGAGAGACGAAAGGCUGGUUGGAGAGUUUGCUAUGCAGGAGACGUGCUUUGAUGUCUGCGGGGAAGGUUGUGUUUCAUUCAGCCCUCCAACCAAAAAAAUGUUGCAGGAGCAAUAUGAAACCUUCUGAGAUGCAGCAGACGGCAAGCAGAAGUGGAGAGCAAGUGGCUGGGUCCGAGUUCUCCCGUUCUUAGGACAGGGGAGAGAAUGUGUCGAAGCUUGGGGCAGCCUUGUUACCUGCUGUGGGGAGAAAAGCAAGAGGAAAUGGAGGUAAAUGACUCUGUGUGUCCCGGAGAGGCCCUGAACUAUGCUGACAGAUGCAGAUGGAGUCAUCUGAGGCUGCCAGCUACCGCAGCCUUUACACCAACUGAUGUAGGAAGAAGAAAAUGAGCCAAGAAAGUAGGUUAAUCUCCCAGAGAAACACAAAAUAGGUAGCAGGUACCAUUUUUACACCUUUCACUCUGUAGUUGCUUCCAACCCAGAGCUGUGAAGCCCAAGGAAUUCCUUUUGUGUCCUUACCUUCCCUUUUAGGGGUAUCUCUGAUCUAAUAAUGUUGUUUCUGUACCCAGGCUCGUUGCUCAGCUAGAUGCACUCCCCAAACCGAGCCACAACUUUCAUUUCCACGCAAGGGAUUUUCAGUACAACUUGGUAUUGGGAGAUGAUCAACUUUGUACUAAAUCACGGACAGGAAAACAAUAGAUUUCCAAAAUAAGAUCCUCUCACCACUAUGCUCUACCAUCCAGCCACACAGUUCAAUAUUUCUUUUCAAAAGGGAUGGAGUAAGUUGCUGAUCAUGUUAUCUUGAAGGAACCGAAAGAGCAUGUAUUACAUAUCCAACACAUUGCUUCUUCAAUUUAUCUCAGAUUUUUCCUCUGCUUUUGCAAUAAACAAUCCACAAAAUCA